GAGGUAGACUUGGAUGAAGAUCAGGAUUUUCUGGAGGGAGAAAUAGGCUUUGAUUCUUGAACAGAGGAGAGAAACUAAGAGCAAAGGUAUCAAUACGAAGAAGCAUGAGAUGACGGCGGCGACGGUGGGUGCGUAUUUUUUUCCGACGUAGGGUUUGAAACCUUUUGUCAUUUCGUUAUUGGCUUUGGUGAUGUAGGCUUUGGAAGUGGUUGAGAUUCGUUCGAGGUCGGGGAGGAGUGUUUGGUGGAAUCUAUUCGGUAGAUCUGUGAACUCUGAAACCAAAUCAUCUUCCUCGUCCAGAAUCCAACUCGGCGGUGUCUG
rnacentral:lncRNA from 1 species